UACAGAGGGGGCAAGCGUUGUUCGGAAUUACUGGGCGUAAAGGGCGCGUAGGCGGCCUUCUAAGUCGAACGUGAAAUCCCCGGGCUCAACCCGGGAACUGCGUCCGAUACUGGAAGGCUUGAAUCCGGGAGAGGGAUGUGGAAUUCCAGGUGUAGCGGUGAAAUGCGUAGAUAUCUGGAGGAAUACCGGUGGCGAAGGCGACAUCCUGGACCGUUAUUGACGCUGAGGCGCGAAAGCCAGGGGAGCAAACGGG
rnacentral:rRNA from 1 species